rnacentral:tRNA from 1 species
AGAAUAAUAGUUAAAUAUAACAUUUGGUUUGCAUCCAAAAAGUACCCGUGGGUUUAUUUUA